GACGUAGGGGGCAAGCGUUGUUCGGAAUUAUUGGGCGUAAAGCGCUCGUAGGCGGGAUUGGAAGUCCGUGUUGAAAGACCUCGGCUCAACUGAGGGACCGGCUCGGAUACUCUAAUUCUUGAGGCAAUCAGAGGAUGAUGGAAUUCCCGGUGUAGCGGUGAAAUGCGUAGAGAUCCGGAGGAACACCGACGGCGAAGGCAGCGCCCUGGCCGCCAUCUGACGCUCAGGCACGAAAGCUGGGGGAGCGAACAGG
rnacentral:rRNA from 1 species